UCCCAAGCUUUGCAUCCUGCCGGAACCGGCGUUCGCCGACACGGUGAGUGCGUGGUCGCCAGAGACUCCCACGAAGGCGGCGACGACGUCUUCUGGGAAGAUCGCAGUGGCGACAUCUGGAAGGCGGCGGCUGGGAAAGAGCUGCCGUUGUUGGGCUUGGGCGGCACUGGAGGAGCUCAGGCGGCGCUAGCGUCGGUCUCGCCGGCCACCACAUCGUCGGCCGUCGGAUCUCCUCUCCCGCCUCGCGCCCGUUGGCCUCGUGUGGCUCUUUCUUAUCUACUUCGGGAAGCAAACCGUCGGAGAGGAUGCGGUGAGGAGGGAUUCGGCGAACAAGGAGGACGACUAACUGCCGUGCAGCUGAGCAUGCUGCUUGCUGCUGCAGCCGCAGCGCUGCCGUGGGAAUGGCGGCCGAACAUGCCAACGGUGAGUACAUAUACACACUUAGAUUAUCAUGUAUUCGAUCUUCACUGGUCCUCAGGAUAA
rnacentral:lncRNA from 1 species